rnacentral:rRNA from 1 species
UCUACGGCCAUUCCACACUGAACGCGCCCGAUCUCGUCUGAUCUCGGAAGCUAAGCAGGGUCGGGCCGGGUUAGUACUUGGAUGGGAGAUUAGAUUCAAAUUCCAAAUAACUUUUAUAA